rnacentral:lncRNA from 1 species
GCUGGUGCGUGCUGCUGCCCCAGCAUCGGUGAGGAAGGAGAGCUGGAUGGAGACGGAGGCCGAGAGGCUUCAAAAUCAGGGCCUGGAGAAAUGGCUCAGUGCUGGAGAAUAUUUACUUUUCUUGCAGGGGACACAAGUUCAGUUCUCAGUGCCCACCUCAAGAGGUUCCUAAUUGCUUCUAACUCUAGCUCCAGGGGAUUUGAGUCUCUCUUCCGGCCUCCACGGGCACCCCCACACAGGUGCACAUAAAAACAAGUGAGUUUUAGAAAGACAGAGGCCAUUACAGAGGAAGAGGGGAUCUCUACCACCCCGACUGGCUACACAAAACAAAACAGAGCAUGUGCAGAAGAACUGACCGUAAGCGAAGCAUGCGCAGAAAAAGCGAAGCGUAUGUAAAUGACUGUAAAAGGUCACAAGGUUUAGGCAGGGGCCUCUGAGCCUUUGACCUUUCUUUAGAGCUGGCCCACCUCACAUAUAAAAAGUGUUUUUCUCUUUUAAUAAACUGUAUCUGUUUCU